GUCCCUGUCGAUUAGUGGUUAAAUCAUCUCGUUGUGGCACCUUCAGAAAUAAGGUUAGCUCCGAGAAGCCGGAAGUUCGAAUCCUCCUAGGGACA